UACGAGUGCCCCGAGCGUUAUCCGGAAUCAUUGGGCGUAAAGGGUGUGUAGGUGGUCAGAUAAGUCUUCAGUUAAAUUCUUCGGCUUAACCGGGGGCAUGCUGGGGAAACGGUCUGACUUGAGGAUGCGAGAGGUGAAUGGAACUCUAAGUGUAGGGGUGAAAUGCGCAGAUAUCAGGAGGAACACCGGUGGCGAAGGCGGGUCUCUGGGCCGAAACUGACGCUGAGGAGCGAAAGCGUGGGGAGCAAACAGG
rnacentral:rRNA from 1 species